ensembl:lncRNA
CUAAUAGUAAAGUGCAGAUCAUAUGGAGUAGUCUUUCUCUAAUAGUAAAUUAAAUGUAGAGUUAAUAUGGAGUAGUCUUUCUCUAAUAGUAAAGUACAGAUCAUAUGGAGUAUUCUUUCUCUAAUAGUAAAUGUCUAGAUCAUAUGGAGUAGUCUUUCUCUAAUAGUAAAGUGCAGAUCAUAUGGAGUAGUCUUUCUCUAAUAGUAAAGUGCAGAUCAUAUGGAGUAGUCUUUCUCUAAUAGUAAAUUAAAUGUCUAGAUCAUAUGGAGUAGUCUUUCUCUAAUAGUAAAGUGCAGAUCAUAUGGAGUAGUCUUUCUCUAAUAGUAAAUUAAAUGUCUAGAUCAUAUGGAAUAGUCUUUCUCUAAUAGUAGAGUAAAUGUCCAGAUCAUAUGGAGUAGUCUUUCUCUAAUAGUAAAUGUCUAGAUCAUAUGGAGUAGUCUUUCUCUAAUAGUAAAGUGCAGAUCAUAUGGAGUAGUCUUUCUCUAAUAGUAAAGUACAGAUCAUAUGGAGUAGUCUUUCUCUAAUAGUAAAUGUCUAGAUCAUAUGGAGUAGUCUUUCUCUAAUAGUAAAGUACAGAUCAUAUGGAGUAGUCUUUCUCUAAUAGUAAAGUAAAUGUCCAGAUCAUAUGGAGUAGUCUUUCUCUAAUAGUAAAUGUCUAGAUCAUAUGGAGUAGUCUUUCUCUAAUAGUAAAUGUCUAGAUCAUAUGGAGUAGUCUUUCUCUAAUAGUAAAGUGC